rnacentral:rRNA from 1 species
AGAGUUUGAUCCUGGCUCAGGAUGAACGCUAGCUACAGGCUUAACACAUGCAAGUCGAGGGGCAGCAUGUUGGUUGCUUGCAACCAACGAUGGCGACCGGCGCACGGGUGAGUAACGCGUAUCCAACCUACCCUUGUCCAUCGGAUAACUCGUCGAAAGGCGGCCUAACACGAUAUGCGGUUCACAGCAGGCAUCUAACGUGAACGAAAUGUGAAGGAGAAGGAUGGGGAUGCGUCUGAUUAGCUUGUUGGCGGGUACGCCACAAGGCUACGAUCAGUAGGGUUCUGAGAGGAAGGUCCCCCANAUUGGAACUGAGACACGGUCAAACUCCUACGGGAGGCA